CUGCGGAAGGAUCAUUAGUGAAUCUAGGGUGUCCAAUUUAACUUGGAGCCCGAACUCUCACUUUCUAACCCUGUGCAUCUGUUAGCUUGGUUAGUAGCUCUUCGGAGUGAACUCCAUUNACUUACAAACACAAAGUCUAUGAAUGUAUAAAAGAUUAUAACAAAACAAAACUUUCAACAACGGAUCUCUUGGCUCUCUGCAUCGAUGAAGAACGCAGCGAAAUGCGAUACGUAAUGUGAAUUGCAGAAUUCAGUGAAUCAUCGAAUCUUUGAACGCACCUUGCGCUCUUGGUAUUCCGAGGAGCAUGCCUGUUUGAGCUGUCAUGAAAUCUUCAACCCACCUCUUUCUUAGUGAAUCUGGUGGUGCUUGGUUUCUGAGCGCUGCUCUGCUAUCGGCUUAGCUCGUUCGUAAUGCAUUAGCAUCCGCAACCGAACUUCGGAUUGACUUGGCGUAAUAGACUAUUCGCUGAAGGAUUCUAGUCUCGUACUAGAGCCGGGUUGGGUUAAAGGAAGCUUCUAAUCCUAAAGUCUAUUUUUUGAUUAGAUCUCAAAUCAGGUAGGA
rnacentral:rRNA from 1 species